rnacentral:rRNA from 1 species
AACGAACGCUGGCGGCAGGCUUAACACAUGCAAGUCGAGCGAGACCGUCGGGUCUAGCGGCGGACGGGGGAGUAACGCGUGGGAACGUGCCCUUCUCUACGGAAUAGCUCCGGGAAACUGGGAGUAAUAACGUAUAGGCCCAUUGGGGGAAAGAUCUAUCGGGGAAGGAUCGGCCCGCGUUGGAUUAGGUAGUUGGUGGGGUAAUGGCCCACCAAGCCGACGAUCCAUAGCUGGUUGGGGAGGAUGAUCAGCUACGCUGGAGCUGAGACACGGCCCAGACUCCGACGGGAGGGAGCAGUGGGGAAUCUUAGACGAUGGAGGCAACCCUGAUCUAGCCAUGCCGGGUGAGUGAUGAAGGCCUUAGGGUUGUAAAGCUCCUUCAGCUGGGAAGAUAAUGACGGUACCAGCAGAAGAAGCCCCGGCUAACUCCGUG